GUUGUGAUGACUCAGUGGUAGAGUGCUUUCCUGGAACGUGAGAGUCCCUAAGUUCGAUCCUUAGCACCACA
rnacentral:tRNA from 1 species